AAGCCUUGUUUCCAUCCCAGCACCACACCACAAAAAGUCAAAACAAAGGUUGGUCAUUCAGGGGCAAAAGGCUGUUCUCUUGAUUUUGACUUUCUAAUUAUUUUCUAAUUUUAUGAAUUUUGUGCUGAUUAGAACACAGGCCUACCAUAUGCUCCCUGACUUUGGUUCAUAGCACAUGCAUGCAAUCCUAGUACUUAGGAAGCAGAGGCAGAGGUAUCGCCAGCCUGGUAGUUCUACAAAGCAAAUUUCAGGCCAGGAACUAAAAAGUAAGACCCUCUCUCAAAAAUAAAUAAUUUAGACGUCUAAAUUAUAAACAAAUUAUAUGUUGUCUUUUUGUUUCACUUUUCACCAGCCUGGUGAUGCUUCCAUCAGAAUUCCUUCAAGACAAGCUAUUGGACCAUUCUAAGUCAUUUCUCAAGUCCUGUGGGAGAAACCACACACACACCCUGCGGUUCACACUCUGUCCCUUCCUUCCACGGAGCAGCAGCUUUCCCAGGAGAGAUGACUAUGGACCUCUAGGCCCUUCAUGAGGAUAGAGACAGAGCCCACGUAGUGCCACCCAGCCCGGGAAGGAGCAAAAGUGAACUAUGCCAUGGAAGACAACCUAACUAACUUCAAGCACAUAUUUUAAUGUUAUCCCAAUUGGGUUUUUUUUUUUUUUUUGAGACAGAGUUAUGUAUAUAGCCCAGGCUGCCAUUGAACUUAAGAUCUUCCUGUCUCACCAUCACACAUGCUGGGAUGGUGAGCCUGCACUACCACACCUAGCCCUUUAACCUGUUGUCUUUUUAAAAAAUAACCCCAGUGUGCCCUUCAGUUACUUAACAGUGAUUAGCCUAAUGACAAGUGUAUUAGUAAUCUUUUUUUCAUGUCCAGGAAGUGAUUUCCGAGGGUGACUUGGAUCUGCAUUUGACCACCAAGCCAUUCAUUCGUUUUCUGUUUGAGAGGAGAAAAGAAACUGAGAAAUGGGUGGAGCGAAGGUUCCAUCUUUACUAUUUCUUUUUAAAAGUCUGUAAUAGCAGCUGUCCAAACUGGAUCCAGCAGGACCUUCAUAGGCAGCUGGGGGCAGAAGCCCAUGGGGGGAAAGAGGUGGAGCAGGAAGGAAGGAAUUAGGAGGGGAGGGGAAAACCCCACAGUCCAUCUUUGUCUGGCAGCAACCCUCAGAAUUCCCAAGAGGCCACUGACAGUGCUGACAGGGAGAGAUGGCAGCACAAUAUCUAGUUAGGGGUCCCAGUCCCUUCACUAGUGCAUUGAAUGUCAUACUUGGUGCCUACUAUGUGCCAAAUAUUGAGAGAGUCAGAGAUGAAUCUACCAACCAGCAUUCUGGAACAGCUCCUGGUCUUGUGGGUUACUGUGGAAUGUUGGGAUGAUUCUAAAGGUGUAGGAGUGUAAUGCCGAGAGGAGGGGGGGAGAGAAAUCUAGAAGGCUUUAGAAAAAGCAAUUCUUCAGCUGAGUUUUAUGAAAUAGUUACUGGCUGACAGGAAACGGUGGGGAUUUUCAAAGCAAAGGGAACAGACUUAGAAAUUUGCUGGUAUGUCUGUGUAAAAUGGUUUUUAAAAAUCAAUAUGCAGCGACAGAUAUACUUGCCCAUGUAAACAGCCAGCAAACUAUUUAUAAAAGAUUACACAAUGGAUUACAUGUUAUGGUAAAUAGAUAAAACUAAUGUUUAUCAAAAAGAAACGAUUUGAAUAAAUUAUGGUACAUCCAUACAACA